rnacentral:ncRNA from 1 species
GGAUCCCAACGAUGGAUCCUUCAACUGACGGAAGACAGAAA